rnacentral:rRNA from 1 species
UACGAAGGGGGCAAGCGUUGUUCGGAAUUACUGGGCGUAAAGCGCACGUAGGAGGAUUAGUGAGUCAGGGGUGAAAUCACGGGGCUCAACCUCGGAACUGCCUGUGAUAGUGCUGAUCUCGAGUCCGGAAGAGGUGGGUGAAGUCCUAGUGGAGUGGUGAAAUUCGUAGAUAUUAGGAAGAACACCAGUGGCGAAGGAGGCUCACUGGGCCGGUACUGACGCUGAGGUGCGAAAGCGUGGGGAGCAAACAGG